GACGGAAGGUGCAAGCGUUGCUCGGAAUCACUGGGCGUAAAGGGCGCGUAGGCGGCCUUCUAAGUCGAACGUGAAAUCCCUGGGCUCAACCCAGGAACUGCGUCCGAUACUGAAAGGCUUGAAUCCGGGAGAGGGAUGCGGAAUUCCAGGUGUAGCGGUGAAAUGCGUAGAGAUGUGGAGGAAUACCGAUGGCGAAGGCAGCCUCUGGGCCAACACUGACGCUCAUGCACGAAAGCGUGGGGAGCAAACAGG
rnacentral:rRNA from 1 species